rnacentral:rRNA from 1 species
CCUACGGGUGGCAGCAGUGAGGAAUAUUGGUCAAUGGACGCAAGUCUGAACCAGCCAUGCCGCGUGCAGGAAGACUGCUCUAUGAGUUGUAAACUGCUUUUGUACGAGGGUAAACGCAGAUACGCGUACCUGUCUGAAAGUAUCGUAUGAAUAAGGAUCGGCUAACUCCGUGCCAGCAGCCGCGGUAAUACGGAGGAUUCAAGCGUUAUCCGGAUUUAUUGGGUUGAAAGGGUGCGUAGGCGGUCGGAUAAGUUAGAGGUGAAAUCCCGAGGCUCAACCUCGGAAUUGCCUCUGAUACUGUGCGGCUAGAGAGUAGUUGCGGUAGGCGGAAUGUAUGGUGUAGCGGUGAAAUGCUUAGAGAUCAUACAGAACACCGAUUGCGAAGGCAGCUUACCAAGCUACGUCUGACGUUGAGGCACGAAAGCGUGGGGAGCAAACAGGAUUAGAUACCCCUGUAGUC